rnacentral:rRNA from 1 species
UACAGAGGUCCCAAGCGCUGUUCGGAUUCAUUGGGCGUAAAGGGCGCGUAGGCGGCGGGGUAAGUCGGGUGUGAAAUCUCAGGGCUCAACCCUGAAACUGCACUCGAUACUGCUCUGCUUGAGGACUGGAGAGGAGACUGGAAUUCACUGUGUAGCAGUGAAAUGCGUAGAUAUCGUGAGGAAGACCAGUGGCGAAGGCGGGUCUCUGGACAGUUCCUGACGCUGAAGCGCGAAAACGUGGGGAGCAAACGGG